rnacentral:rRNA from 1 species
CUACGGGCUGCUGCAGUGGGGAAUAUUGCACAAUGGGCGCAAGCCUGAUGCAGCAACGCCGCGUGAGGGAUGACGGCCUUCGGGUUGUAAACCUCUUUUAGCAGGGAAGAAGCGAAAGUGACGGUACCUGCAGAAAAAGCACCGGCUAACUACGUGCCAGCAGCCGAGGUAAUACGUAGGGUGCGAGCGUUGUCCGGAAUUAUUGGGCGUAAAGAGCUCGUAGGCGGUUUGUCACGUCUGCUGUGAAAAUCCAAGGCUCAACCUUGGACUUGCAGUGGGUACGGGCAGGCUAGAGUGCGGUAGGGGAGAGGGGAAUUCCUGGUGUAGCGGUGGAAUGCGCAGAUAUCAGGAGGAACACCAAUGGCGAAGGCACAUCUCUGGGCCGUAACUGACGCUGAGGAGCGAAAGCGUGGGGAGCGAACAGGAUUAGAUACCCCCGUAGUC